GUCUUCCUACGGGACGCAGCAGUAGGGAAUUUUCGUCAAUGGGCGCAAGCCUGAACGAGCAAUGCCGCGUGAACGAGGAAGGUCUUCGGAUCGUAAAGUUCUGUUGAAGGGGAAAAAGAGCGGAGAGAGGAAAUGAACUCCGAUUGAUAUUACCCUUCGAGGAAGUCACGGCUAACUACGUGCUAGCAGCCGCGGUAAUACGUAGGUGGCGAGCGUCAUCCGGAAUGAUUGGGCGUAAAGGGUGCGUAGGCGGCCUGCUAAGUCUGGAGUGAAAGGCACCGGCUCAACCGGUACAGGCUCUGGAA
rnacentral:rRNA from 1 species